rnacentral:rRNA from 1 species
GACGAACGCUGGCGGCGUGCUUAACACAUGCAAGUCGAACGGAAAGGCCCUGGUUUUGUGGGGUACUCGAGUGGCGAACGGGUGAGUAACACGUGAGUGACCUGCCCUGGACUUUGGGAUAACUUCAGGAAACUGGGGCUAAUACCGGAUAGGAGCUCCUGCUGCAUGGUGGGGGUUGGAAAGUUUCGGCGGUUGGGGAUGGACUCGCGGCUUAUCAGCUUGUUGGUGGGGUAGUGGCUUACCAAGGCUUUGACGGGUAGCCGGCCUGAGAGGGUGACCGGCCACAUUGGGACUGAGAUACGGCCCAGACUCCUACGGGAGGCAGCAGUGGGGAAUAUUGCACAAUGGGCGGAAGCCUGAUGCAGCAACGCCGCGUGCGGGAUGACGGCCUUCGGGUUGUAAACCGCUUUCGCCUGUGACGAAGCGUGAGCGACGGUAAUGGGUAAAGAAGCACCGGCUAACUACGUG